rnacentral:rRNA from 1 species
ACCUAAAAUCUAGCCCCGUUCUCCCUAUAUACUACCUUACCUUGCUUUAACAAACAAAACAUUUAAAUAACCUAGUAAAGGUGAUAGAAAAGUUUACUGGAGCUAUACUGAUAGUACCGUAAGGGAAAGAUGAAAUAAAAAUGAAAUAAACAAUGAAGUGCAGAAAAGUAGAGCUUCAACCUUGUACCUUUUGUAUUAUGGUUUAACUAGUCUUUGCCAAGCAAAACGAAUUUUAGUUUGACUCCCCGAAACUAGACGAGCUACUCCAAGGCAGCCUGAUGGGCCAACCCGUCUCUGUUGCAAAAGAGUGGGAAGACCUUCGAGUAGAGGUGACAAACCAACCGAGUUUAGAGAUAGCUGGUUACCUGGUAAAAGAAUCUUAGUUCUUCCUAAAGCUAAAUAAUGCCCAUAAACAAACCCUUUUACUUUAGAACUAUUCAAGUAAGGUACAGCUUAUUUGAAACAGGGUACAACCUAGAACAACGGGUUAUUAAAUAACAACAUAUUAAAGUGGGCCCAAAAGCAGCCACCUUUAAAAUAGCGUCAAAGCUUAACUAUUUUAUGUAAAAAAUUGCCAUAAUUUAUAUUAACCCUUAUCCACCACCGGGUGUUUCUAUAUCCCUAUAGAAGUCAUCAUGUUAAAACUAGUAACAAGAAGGAGACCCUUCUCUUUUAAUGCAAGUAUAAGCCAGAAAGGACAAACCACUGUCAUUUAACACAUAUGACCCCUAAUUAGUAACACCACAAGAAAACCCUAUUACUACUAGUGUUAAUCUAACACAAGGGCAUUUUAAGAAAGAUUUUUUAAAAAGGAAGGAACUCAGCAAACACCAACCCCGCCUGUUUACCAAAAACAUCGCCUCUUGACUUUAUAAGAGGUCCAGCCUGCCCAGUGACCCAGUUUAACGGCCGCGGUAUCCUAACCGUGCGAAGGUAGCGUAAUCACUUGUUCUUUAAAUGAGGACUAGUAUGAACGGCAUCACGAAGGUUGCACUGUCUCCCCUUUCUAAUCAGUGAAACUAAUCUUCCCGUGAAGAAGCGGGAAUGCUUUAAUAAGACGAGAAGACCCUAUGGAGCUUUAAACGAUUUGACACUUGCUGUCAUUUUACCCCUCUCAGGAACCUCACAAAAACACAGCACUAUGAUCACAAGUUUUCGAUUGGGGUGAUCACGGAGUAAAGACUAACCUCCACGCCAAAUGAGCUCAGCCUCUGAGCUGUAAGCCACAACUUUACGCACUAAAAAAUUAAUGUCUCUUGACCCAAUAAUUUGAUCAACGAACCGAGUUACCCUAGGGAUAACAGCGCAAUCCACUUCAAGAGCCCCUAUCGACAAGUGGGUUUACGACCUCGAUGUUGGAUCAGGGUGUCCAAGUGGUGCAGCCGCUACUAAUGGUUCGUUUGUUCAACGAUUAAAACCCU